rnacentral:rRNA from 1 species
UACAGAGGUGGCAAGCGUUGUUCGGAAUUACUGGGCGUAAAGGGCGCGUAGGCGGUUUCGUAAGUCCCGUGUGAAAGCCCCCGGCUCAACUGGGGAAUUGCACGGGAAACUGCGAGGCUUGAGUUCGGGAGAGGGAAGCGGAAUUCCGGGUGUAGCGGUGAAAUGCGUAGAUAUCCGGAGGAACACCGGUGGCGAAGGCGGCUUCCUGGACCGACACUGACGCUGAGGCGCGAAAGCGUGGGGAGCAAACGGG